rnacentral:rRNA from 1 species
UUGAACGCUGGCGGCAUGCCUUACACAUGCAAGUCGAACGGCAGCGCGGGAGCAAUCCUGGCGGCGAGUGGCGAACGGGUGAGUAAUACAUCGGAACGUGCCCAAUCGUGGGGGAUAACGCAGCGAAAGCUGUGCUAAUACCGCAUACGAUCUACGGAUGAAAGCAGGGGAUCGCAAGACCUUGCGCGAAUGGAGCGGCCGAUAGCAGAUUAGGUAGUUGGUGAGGUAAAGGCUCACCAAGCCUUCGAUCUGUAGCUGGUCUGAGAGGACGACCAGCCACAGGGGAAUGGAACCACGGCCCAGACCCCUGCGGAGGGCAGCAGGGGGGAAUUUUGGACAAGGGGCGAAAGCCUGACCCAGCAAUGCCGCGUGAGGGAUGAAGGCCUUGGGGUUGUAAAGUGCUUUUAUCAGGAAAGAAAGUGUUUUUAAAAAAAAAGAAGCCUAAUGACGUUACCGAAAGAAAAACCCCCGGCUAACUACGUC